CAAUAGCGUAUAUUAAAGUUGUUGCAGUUAAAAAGCUCGUAGUUGGAUUUCUGGUGGGGGCCGCUGGUCCGCUGCGAAAGCGGCGUGUACCGAUGCGUGCCUACCGCCAUCCUCGGGUGGAGUGCGUGUGGGAUUAAUUUCUCGUGCGUAGGAUGCCCGUCGUUUACUGUGAAAAAAUUAGAGUGUUCAAAGCAGGCUUUGGCCGUUGAAUACAUUAGCAUGGAAUAAUAAGAUAGGACUUGGCUCUAUUUUGUUGGUUUGUACGCCAAGUAAUGAUUGAUAGGGAUAGUUGGGGGUAUUCGUAUUCAAUUGUCAGAGGUGAAAUUCUUAGAUUUAUGGAAGACGAACUACUGCGAAAGCAUUUACCAAGGAUGUUUUCAUUAA
rnacentral:rRNA from 1 species